AAACUUACCAUCCCGUGGCUCCUGACUUUGUACUGUUUGCUCAAAUGAUCAGUUUAGUGCAGAGCCUGCUGUCACUUUGCAAACCAGAACAAUCCCUCUGGAACCAGAGAUGUCAGAGUGACUCUUGUCAGGAGUGGGGAGGGGAUACCUGUAGGGCACCUGCCAACAGGACAGUCUCAUCUAUAGUGAAUCCAUGAGGACAGACACACUGUCUCAGCUUCUGUCUUUCAGCAGCCAAGUCACACAGGGCUCCGUACAUUUAUAAAGAGUUCAUAUGCAUUCGGUGUAUCUUGGGCUAAAGUACUGAAUUCAAGCAUUUCAAGAAACUGGACGCCCAGAGAAGGCAGACCACCAUGGCCGUCUGGACUGUCGUGACUCUGCAGUACUGGUUAUUCUGAAAAUGCCAAUACCAUGAUAUGCUAAGGCUUCAACUCAACAAAAAAUACUGGAUCAUUUGCAAGUGUGGCAUCUGACAGCUUGUCACAGCUUGGUGAAGGAGGAGUGGUGGACACUGUGCACCAAUGGCCCCCUUCCCUCCAGUUGGCGUCUUCAUUAGUUGUAGCAGAAAACAAAGUCUGCUGUCCUCUUUACACAGCCAUAGCUUGUUAGUAUUACUUGGUUUAGUUGUAAACAACGUUCAUUGCCUUUGGAUGUUCCUAAAAUAAUCCAGUAGACAUCAUGAUCAGUGGCUCUGUGCCUCUAUUCACAUUAUCUGUUUGUUCUUUCACACAGAUCAUCUUCAACCCUUGUGUAUAUUCUUCUGCUUGGGCUACAUGUGACCUGAGACAGUAUUCCCUGAGCUCCAUCAGUCACCAGCUUCUUGUUGGGAGGAGCCACUUAGUAGUAGCAACAAGAAAUCAACAAACUCAACAAGGAUAGUCUAGGAAUUCUUGCUGCUUCACCUCACCAUGGUUUGGGCAUGAUUGUAUUCUCGUUCAUUAUGCAAGCUGAGGAUGGCUUGGCUCCCUAGACUCACAGCAUCCUGGAAACGCUGCUUCUCCCAACUUAACUCAUUCAAGACUGUGGUGUGGGAGGUCAUCUUCAGCCCUUGUGUAUAUUCUUCUGCUUGGGGCAAAUGUGACUCGGGACAGCAUCCUCAAGGCUCCAUCAGUCUCCAGCUUCUUGUUUAAAAGUAAAUGAUCCACCCUAUUUAUUUGCUGCUAUUUUAUUAUAUUUGCUACUGAAGCCAUUCACUGGGCCACCUAGCGACUAGAUCUCAUUUAAUCAUACUCCAGAAAGUGCUGUGAGGAUCACACAGCGAUUGUUUUGGACUGAGACUGCAGGCAAGAAACCCAGAGCCGGACAGGACAAGCAGAUAUGCUCCCUCUGUUCUUGAAGCUGGAAACAAUCGUUAAGUAAACAAUGAAAGAUACAGUGUGUUUUACAGGCAAACCUAAUCAGACCCAGAGAAAAUGAUGUUAAGCUAGGAACCAAGGGAAUGAAGGAGCCAGAUGCAGAGAUUUGGGCCAGGCCCCUCACCUAUAGAUUUGGGAACAAGUUAAGGCAGAGCCAAGUCACAUUUUGGAUUUAACUCUGAAGUGUCUACCAUGUUGCUCUCAUGAACUCUACCCUAAGCAAGUGUUUUCCUUGACUACUGAAAUACCGAUUUUAUUCUUCCCUGGUUGAUGGCUGUUUCUUUAGCCACUGAGCAGUACCACAAAAUGGCUGUGACCUUGAACGGACAAAGAACUCAGGAAGUGACAGUUCUGGGUGAUGAUAAGACAGGACAACCUGGUCUUGGACUAAAAAUGCAGUUUUGAUCAAGAAGAAGGAAGACUAAAGUGUGGAUACUUCAGUCCUUCUUAGAAUGGGGAACAAAAUACCCAUGGAAGGAGUUACAGAGACAAAGUUCGGAGCUAAGGCGGAAGGAAGGACAAUCCAGAGACUGCCCCACCUGGGGAUCCAUCCCAUAUACAACCACCAAGCCCAGACACUAUUGCAUAUGCCAGAAAGACUUUGCUGACAGGACCCUGAUAUAGCUCUCUCUUGUGAGGCUA
rnacentral:lncRNA from 1 species